GCAAAGAAUCAGGCAGCCCCUGUUGCCGGAGAAAGAGAUGGCAUAGGAGAUCUCUCUUCUCGUCAGAUCUGCUGAGAUGGGAAUGAGAUCUCUCUUCUCUUCUUUGAAGCUCAUCUAGUAAGCUCAAAUUUGGGACAAGUGAGAGACAGUGGGUUGAAGCCCAAGUUGAAAAUGCUAAGCAGCAGGCUAUUCUUGUGACACUUAAAUCUCAAGUAUCAUCUGAUGAAGCUCACAUUCAUCAUGAUCUUCAUUCUCUUUGGUACAUCGAUACAGGAGAUUUUUUCUGAGUAGCUUGAGGAAAGGAGAUUUAUAUCUAGAGGCAACUGCAAAUUUCUGGUGCUUAUCAUCCAAUGUUCAUCAUCAGCUUUCUCACUUUCAAUUUCCCAUCUCCAUUGAUAAAUUUGUGAACUCUUGUUCCUCCUCUUAGAUGGGCAGAAGUCUUAAACUUCUUUUUUAUAAUAUAUUCGUAGGCAAUAAACUUUUGGAAUUGAUAGUUUCUGAUACCUGGGGAUGUACUUGGUUUUGCUUCUAGAUACAUUUCAUUGAUAUUAGUAGAUUUACAUGGUAUUUUUGCAUGGUAUG